GACGAACGCUGGCGGCGUGCUUAACACAUGCAAGUCGAACGAAGUGGCGAACGGGUGAGUAAUACGUGAGUAACCUGCCCUCCUUUUUGGGAUAAGCCUUGGAAACGGGGUCUAAUACCGAAUAAAGGGGGAUGGGCUCGCGGCCUAUCAGCUUGUUGGUGGGGUGAUGGACUACCAAGGCGGUGACGGGUAGCAGGCCUGAGAGGGUGACCGGCGACAUUGGGAAUGAGAUAGGGCCCAGACUCGUACGGGAGGCAGCAGUGGGGGAUAUUGCACAAUGGGCGAAAGCAGGAUGCAGCGACGCCGCGUGGGGGAUGAAGGCUUUCGGGUUGUAAACCUCUUUCGCUAUCGAAGGGGUAGGUGGAGAAGAAGCGCCGGCUAACUACGUGCCAGCAGCCGCGGUAAUAC
rnacentral:rRNA from 1 species